rnacentral:rRNA from 1 species
AGAGUUUGCUUCUGGCUCAGGGUGAACGCUAGCGGCAGGCUUAACACAUGCAAGUCGAGGGGCAUCGGGAGGGAAGCUUGCUUUCCUUGCCGGCGACCGGCGCACGGGUGAGUAACACGUAUGCAACCUGCCCUCUUCAGGGGGACAACCUUCCGAAAGGGAGGCUAAUCCCGCGUAUAUCGGUUUCGGGCAUCCGAGAUCGAGGAAAGAUUCAUCGGAAGAGGAUGGGCAUGCGGCGCAUUAGCUAGACGGCGGGGUAACGGCCCACCGUGGCGACGAUGCGUAGGGGUUCUGAGAGGAAGGUCCCCCACACUGGUACUGAGACACGGACCAGACUCCUACGGGAGGCAGCAGUGAGGAAUAUUGGUCAAUGGGAGAGAUCCUGAACCAGCCAAGCCGCGUGAGGGAAGACGGCCCUAUGGGUUGUAAACCUCUUUUGUCGGAGAACAAAACCCGGGACGAGUCCCGGACUGCGUGUAUCCGAAGAAAAAGCAUCGGCUAACUCCGUGCCAGCAGCCGCGGCAAUACGGAGGAUGCGAGCGUUAUCCGGAUUUAUUGGGUUUAAAGGGUGCGUAGGCGGUACGUUAAGUCAGCGGUAAAAUUGCGGGGCUCAACCCCGUCGAGCCGUUGAAACUGGCAGACUUGAGUUGGCGAGAAGUACGCGGAAUGCGCGGUGUAGCGGUGAAAUGCAUAGAUAUCGCGCAGAACUCCGAUUGCGAAGGCAGCGUACCGGCGCCAGACUGACGCUGAGGCACGAAAGCGUGGGGAUCGAACAGGAUUAGAUACCCUGGUAGUCCACGCAGUAAACGAUGAAUGCUGGUUGUCCGGGUCGAAUGAGAUCUGGGCGGCGAAGCGAAAGCGAUAAGCAUUCCACCUGGGGAGUACGCCGGCAACGGUGAAACUCAAAGGAAUUGACGGGGGCCCGCACAAGCGGAGGAACAUGUGGUUUAAUUCGAUGAUACGCGAGGAACCUUACCCGGGCUCAAACGGGAGUGGAAUGGACCAGAGACGGUACAGCCUACGGGCCGCUUCCGAGGUGCUGCAUGGUUGUCGUCAGCUCGUGCCGUGAGGUGUCGGCUUAAGUGCCAUAACGAGCGCAACCCCCGCCGGCAGUUGCUAACGGGCAAUGCCGAGGACUCUGCCGGGACUGCCGCCGCAAGGCGAGAGGAAGGCGGGGAUGACGUCAAAUCAGCACGGCCCUUACGUCCGGGGCGACACACGUGUUACAAUGGGCGGUACAGCGGGAAGCCAGGCGGCGACGCCGAGCGGAACCCGAAAGCCGUUCUCAGUUCGGAUCGGAGUCUGCAACCCGACUCCGUGAAGCUGGAUUCGCUAGUAAUCGCGCAUCAGCCAUGGCGCGGUGAAUACGUUCCCGGGCCUUGCACUCACCGCCCGUCA